rnacentral:rRNA from 1 species
CCUACGGGUGGCAGCAGUGGGGAAUGUUGGACAAUGGGCGCAAGCCUGAUCCAGCUAUUCCGCGUGUGGGAUGACGGCCCUCGGGUUGUAAACCACUUUAGUAGAGAACGAAAAGGAGCUAGCGAAUAAAUAGCUCUGCUGACGGUACGAAAAGAAGAAGCACCGGCUAACUACGUGCCAGCAGCCGCGGUAAGACGUAGGGGGCGAGCGUUCAUCGGAAUGACUGGGCGGAAAGGGUGUGCAGGCGGCUGAGUAAGACAGAUGUGAAAUCCCCGGGCGUAACCUGGGAACCGCAUAUGUGACUGCUUGGCUAGAGUGCGUCAGAGGGAGGUGGCAUUCCACGUGUAGCCGU